rnacentral:rRNA from 1 species
UACGUAGGGUGCAAGCGUUAAUCGGAAUUACUGGGCGUAAAGCGUGCGCAGGCGGUUUUGUAAGUCUGUCGUGAAAGCCCCGGGCUCAACCUGGGAAUUGCAUUGGAGACUGCAAGGCUAGAAUCUGGCAGAGGGGGGUAGAAUUCCACGUGUAGCAGUGAAAUGCGUAGAGAUGUGGAGGAACACCGAUGGCGAAGGCAGCCUGCUGGGGCUGUCCUGACGGUCAGGGACGAAAGCUGGGGGAGCAAACCGG